rnacentral:rRNA from 1 species
AAUAUUGGACAAUGGGGGCAACCCUGAUCCAGCCAUCCCGCGUGUGCGAUGAAGGCCUUCGGGUUUUAAAGCCCUUUUGGCAGGGAAGAAAAGGCCCUGGCUAAUACCUGGAGCUGCUGACGGUACCUGCAGAAUACGCACCGGCUAACUUCGUCCCACCCGCCGCGGUAAUACGUAGGGUGCAAGCGUUAAUCGGAAUUACUGGGCGUAAAGCGUGCGCAGGCGGUUCGGCAAGAAGGAUGUGAAAUCCCAGGGCUUAACCUUGGAACUGCAUUCUUAACUGCCGGGCUAGAGUAUGUCAGAGGGGGGUAGAAUUCCGCGUGUAGCAGUGAAAUGCGUAGAGAUGCGAAGGAAUACCGAUGGCGAAGGCAGCCCCCUGGGAUAAUACUGACGCUCAUGCACGAAAGCGUGGGGAGCAAACA